UGUCACAGCCCCAAAGUAUGCUCGCUGUUGCACGAAUCACUGCGCGCCGCACAUCACCACCGCCGCCGGUCAUCCUCGUGCUCCAUGCCGCGCGCGUCCUUAUCCGCACCGGCCGUUCAUUCCCCUCCCCUUUAACUACCGUGCCCGGCCGGCCCCUUUGCCCAAACCCUAGCUCUUCUCCCUACCUCCAUUGCCGCCGCCUGGAGCUCCGCCGGCCGCCGCGAUUCGCCGCCCUCGGGCCCUCGGCGAAGCCCCAUCGCCACCGUCGCGCCGCCUCCUCCGCCGCCAUUCCCUGCGGUCUGUGUCACGGUGACCGAACCGUCGGAGGUCGAACCCGUGGAGCCCACCGAGUCCGUUGACCCUGAACCCGGAGUCCAGUUCGUAGCUGAGCCCGAAGCUAACCAAGGCAAGC